UCUGGCAUUCCGAAUGGCGGAGCCCAGGUGAAAUGUCGUUUGUUGCUGUCCUAUUCCGUGGCGUUAAAUCAUAAAAGUUAACCUGUGCCGCUAUUCCAUGGACUGAAUCCAUUGGUGGAAACUGACGACAAAUCAGUGACAACUGACUGACGUGAUGUCAUUCAGCAAUACUUCUCACAUGCGUGCCCAAAGAGGCAAAGACACGGGGGAGUUGUGCCUGCUUCAGCUACGAGGCCAGCAUAAUUCGACUACCCAACCGACGGCCUGGUGGGUCAACUCACCCAUCACUGACUCCUACUACCCCUGCUCUCAACAUAGCAAAGGACAACAAUGUUGUUCUAAACUACAGGUUUCUAAAUCUGCAUGACAGAAUUUCUGAGAAGUCAUGUCCUUUGAAGAGAAAGGACAAAAACUAUACAUUCAACAAGGUCCCUUAUUUGGUAACCAGUUGGCUGCUACCAUUAAAUCUCCCUCUUUACUUCCUUCUCGAUUUGAGGGUAACUCCUUUGCUACUUAUCAUGGACUUCAUCCAUUGGUGAAAACGACAGAAGAGUGUUGUAAUUCAAGACUGAUAAUUUCUAUGCAUUUUGUCGAUAUGUCGUCUCUUGCUACCUGUACCGCCGUUGAGUUGAUUCGUUCGUCGCCGUUCCUUAGACUUGAUCCAGUGGUGAAACUAUGAAGACGUUACUGAAAUUCAAGAUCGAUAUAUCAUAUAAAUGUUCAUAAAUUACAAGUGCAUAUCUGGGCUCCCUUCUUCAGUGGCCCCGUUUCCCUAAAUAACCACUAACCAACGCCCGCCGGUGGUCACUCACUUGCUGCGACAACCAGGAGGAAGGGAGAUGUUUGGUCGAACGGGGACUUGCAAGGCGCAUGAUUCGAUGAAAUCUGUUGGAGGGUCAUGAGUCUAAGCCGGAAGCCUACUAUGACACACUGCUCUCAUAAUAACUGCUCCUCAGCUCUCUUCGCUCUUUUUCCGGUUUCUCUUAACCAUGGCCGGGUAAUCUCCCUGGUCGAGUCAGUCGCGCAGUGUCUCCCCCUGCUCGACUGGCAGCAAUUUGGACUGGACGGUCUGUUUAGUAUAUAAACCAUGCACAAAAA